UUGGGGAUAGUUUAAUCGGUAAAACGCCGUCCUCCAAAGUCGGUAAUAUAGGUUCAAGUCCUGUUCCCCUUG
rnacentral:tRNA from 1 species